CCCUUAGAUGUUCUGGGUCGCACGCGUGCUACACUGAGUAGAUCAGCGGGUCAGGUUGCGCGAAAGUGUUUCCUAAUCUUGAAAUCCGCUCGUGAUGGGGAUUGACGGUUGCAAUUUUCCGUCAUGAACGAGGAAUACCUUGUAAGCGCGGGUCAUCAUCCCGCGCUGAAUACGUCCCUGCCCUUUGUACACACCGCCCGUCGCUCCUACCGAUUGAGUGGUCCGGUGAGGCUUUGGGAUCUGAGCGGAAAGAGCGUUUCGCUGUUUCUGCUCGGAAAACUCAGUCGAACCUUAUCAUUUAGAGGAAGGAGAAGUCGUAACA
rnacentral:rRNA from 1 species